ensembl:snoRNA Y47G6A.38 ncRNA
AACCAGUUGAGCCAUUAAAAAACAUCAUUUAAACAACAUGGCAAGCAUUAUUUCGUUCCUAAUAAAUGGAAGCAUAGUCAGGAUUACUGUAGUUUCACAUGUAUUUAGCCAUUAAAAUUGUAAUCUGAGUUUUCAUCGGUAUUUGCGCAUACUCAGAAAAUUUUCUUAAAUAUCUUGUCUGUUCCUGUAUUUUCAAGAGCGAAAUAUCGUCA